UGAUGAUGAUGAUGAUGAUGAUGAUGAUGAUGAUCAUUAUCAUUAUCAUUACUACUA
rnacentral:miRNA from 1 species